CACCAACUUCAAAGUGGCAAAUUUAUGAUUUGUGCAAGUGGAUGGAUGAGAGAGGAUAGAGCAAUUUAAAAUCAGGCAGAUGAAUGGUAGGGGAUGGAGCAUUUUAACAUCUAUACAUGAAUGACAGAGGAUGGAGUGCUUUGAGAUCUAUAUAGAUGGAUAAAAAAUAAAAGAUUGGAUGCUUUGAGAUCUAUGCACAUUGGAUGAAAUGGGAUA
rnacentral:lncRNA from 1 species